CAUGCAAGUCGAGCGGAGACAGUGAGUAGCUUGCUAUGAGCUGUUUUAGCGGCGGACGGGUGAGUAACGCGUGAGCAACCUUUCCCAGACAGGGGAAUAACACACCGAAAGGUGUACUAAUACCGCAUAAGACCACGGGAUCACAUGGUUCUGGGGUAAAAGAUUUAUCGGUUUGGGGUGGGCUCGCGUCCGAUUAGGUAGUUGGUGAGGUAACGGCCCACCAAGCCGACGAUCGGUAGCCGACCUGAGAGGGUGAUCGGCCACAUUGGGACUGAGACACGGCCCAAACUCCUACGGGAGGCAGCAGUGGGGAAUAUUGGGCAAUGGGGGGAACCCUGACCCAGCAACGCCGCGUGGAGGAAGAAGGUUUUCGGAUCGUAAACUCCUGUCCUUGGAGACGAGUAGAAGACGGUAUCCAAGGAGGAAGCCCCGGCUAACUACGUGCCAGCAGCCGCGGUAAUACGUAGGGGGCAAGCGUUGUCCGGAAUAAUUGGGCGUAAAGGGCGCGUAGGCGGCUCGGUAAGUCUGGAGUGAAAGUCCUGCUUUUAAGGUGGGAAUUGCUUUGGAUACUGUCGGGCUUGAGUGCAGGAGAGGUUAGUGGAAUUCCCAGUGUAGCGGUGAAAUGCGUAGAGAUUGGGGGGAACACCAGUGGCGAAGGCGACUAACUGGACUGUAACUGACGCUGAGGCGCGAAAGUGUGGGGAGCAAACAGGAUUAGAUACCCUGGUAGUCCACACUGUAAACGAUGAAUGCUAGGUGUAGGGGGUAUCGACCCCUUCUGUGCCGCAGUCAACACAAUAA
rnacentral:rRNA from 1 species